AUUGAACGCUGGCGGCAGGCCUAACACAUGCAAGUCGAGCGGAUGAAGGGAGCUUGCUCCUGGAUUCAGCGGCGGACGGGUGAGUAAUGCCUAGGAAUCGGCCUGGUAGUGGGGGAUAACGUCCGGAAACGGGCGCUAAUACCGCAUACGUCCUGAGGGAGAAAGUGGGGGAUCUUCGGACCUCACGCUAUCAGAUGAGCCUAGGUCGGAUUAGCUAGUUGGUGGGGUAAAGGCCUACCAAGGCGACGAUCCGUAACUGGUCUGAGAGGAUGAUCAGUCACACUGGAACUGAGACACGGUCCAGAUUCCUACGGGAGGCAGCAGUGGGGAAUAUUGGACAAUGGGCGAAAGCCUGAUCCAGCCAUGCCGCGUGUGUGAAGAAGGUCUUCGGAUUGUAGAGCACUUUAAGUUGGGAGGAAGAGCAGUAAGUUAAUACCUUGCUGUUUUGACGUUACCAACAGAAUAAGCACCGGCUAACUUCGUG
rnacentral:rRNA from 1 species